rnacentral:tRNA from 1 species
GCGCGAUGGCUCAGUGGUAGAGCAGUGGUCUCGUAACCGCGAGGUCUCAGGUUCGAAACCGAGUCGAUGCG